rnacentral:rRNA from 1 species
GAUGAACGCUGGCGGCGUGCCUAAUACAUGCAAGUCGAGCGAACAGACGAGGAGCUUGCUCCUUUGACGUUAGCGGCGGACGGGUGAGUAACACGUAGGUAACCUACCUAUAAGACUGGGAUAACUUCGGGAAACCGGAGCUAAUACCGGAUAAUAUUUCGAACCGCAUGGUUCGAUAGUGAAAGAUGGCUUUGCUAUCACUUAUAGAUGGACCUGCGCCGUAUUAGCUAGUUGGUAAGGUAACGGCUUACCAAGGCAACGAUACGUAGCCGACCUGAGAGGGUGAUCGGCCACACUGUAUCUGAGACACGGUCCAGACUCCUACGGGAGGCAGCAGUAGGGAAUCUUCCGCAAUGGGCGAAUGCCUGACGGAGCAACGCCGCGUGAGUGAUGAAGGUCUUCGGAUCGUAAAACUCUGUUAGUAGGGAAGAACAAACGUGUAAGUAACUGUGCACGUCUUGACGGUACCUAAUCAGAAAGCCACGGCUAACUACGUG